UACGGAGGGUGCAAGCGUUAUCCGGAUUCACUGGGUUUAAAGGGUGCGUAGGUGGUUUGUUAAGUCAGGGGUGAAAUCCCGCGGCCCAACCGUGGAACUGCCUUUGAUACUGGCGAACUUGAGUGCGUGAGGGGUAGGGGGAACGAGCAGUGUAGCGGUGAAAUGCGUAGAUAUUGCUCGGAAGGCCAGAGCCGAAGGGGCCCUACUGGUGCGCAACUGACACUGAGGCACGAAAGCGUGGGGAGCAAACAGG
rnacentral:rRNA from 1 species